rnacentral:lncRNA from 1 species
AUUCAUUUGAAAACGUUUCAUUUUCUCAGGACCAAUCGGAAGUGCUUUAGUGGACAAAUACGGAUGUCGAUCGAUGACAAUCGUAGGGGGGAUCAUCUGUACAAUCGGCCUCACUCUCAGCUCCUACGCUAGAUCCAUCGGAGUAAUCAGUGGUUUCCAUAGCUUUCUGGUUCGAAAAGAGAAGAACUGUUGCCCUCGGGUUGGCAGCUAGUGGAACCGGGUUUGGGACUGCGGUUUAUUCACCUUUAGCCACUUGGUUCUUGCGAGAGUACGGCUGGAGGGGAACUUUGUUGAUCACGGCUGGUUUCUUUGCCAAUUUGUGUGUUUGUGGAGCUCUGAUGAGAGAUCCGGACUGGAUAAUCGAAGAAGAGUAAG